rnacentral:lncRNA from 1 species
CAUAAAGCUUGUUUGUUCUAAUUUCCAAAUGAUCCUUAAGGACACUUUGUGCCGGGAAGAGGCGGAAAAAAGAAGCGAGAGCUGGAGUGAGGGGUGAGCACCUGCACUUCAUUGUUUUAUUUGAUCCUCACAAUGGACACGUUUUUGGUCCACAUUUACCCAGAAGGAAACUGAUGCUUAAAGAGGAAAAUGAAGCCUAUAAUUUCCAUACCACAGUUGCCAGUUAAUGGAUAGAGGCUGACCUUGUCUGCUUCAUAAUAUGCAUGCUCUGUUUAGAAUAUGGAGCCUCUGAGAAUGCUUUAUGGAUGUGAACCUUGUACUCCAAGUCCAUUAUGUAUUCCCCUGUGAGCUC